GUGAAUCAUCGAAUUUUUGAACGCAAAUUGCACUCUCCUCGGAGAGUAUGCCUGUUUGAGGGUCAGCCUAUAAAAAAUCGACAUCGUAGAUGAUUCGCGGUGGCGUUCGUCGGAACUUGGGUCAUCUUAAACCUUUUGGUUUUAAGCGCCUUAAAAUUUUCUUUUUGGUUCCAUGAACGCUUCUAAGAUUUAUUUCUUUACACGUGUCAGGUAUCGAUUUUUAUUAGACGUGACCAUCAAAGCGGAUCG
rnacentral:misc_RNA from 1 species